UACGUAGGGUGCGAGCGUUGCCCGGAUUUAUUGGGCGUAAAGGGCGCGUAGGCGGCAUAUUAAGUCAGCUGUGAAAUCUCCGAGCUUAACUCGGAACGGUCAGCUGAUACUGAUGUGCUAGAGUGCGGAAGGGGCAAUCGGAAUUCUUGGUGUAGCGGUGAAAUGCGUAGAUAUCAAGAGGAACACCUGAGGUGAAGACGGGUUGCUGGGCCGACACUGACGCUGAGUGCGCGAAAGCGUGGGGAGCAAACAGG
rnacentral:rRNA from 1 species